rnacentral:lncRNA from 1 species
GAAAAUCGUGAAUGGUAACACCAGGGUGAACAGCAUUAGUGCUGCCAGAGGACCCCUCUCAGGAGGGCUUUCAGUUCCCAGGAGAAUUGAGUCAACUCACAGGGGGAAGCUGGUGACAUAGGAGCCUCAGUAGAUGACUUCAGCCUUCCCAGCUUUGGAGCAUCCCAUCUGACCCUCUAGCAGAGACUGGCACAGAUCAGGAAGGGAGAACCAUGAAGACCCAGGAAUGUUUAACACAUUGUAGCCAGAAAAAGAAUGUCAAUGUUUCCUCCAUACAUCAUUGCUAAUAUAACUCUCCUUUUUAGUUUCCCUAGAAAAUUAACACAACUUUAUGAACAAACAGGUUAGCAUAGUACAUUUUUAUGUUUCUAAACUAGAACAGAAGAUUGCUCUCUUCCCUGCAUGACUUCUGAGAUCCCUAAGUGGUAUCUUUCUAAUGACAAGAAUGUUAUUGCAGGUGUGCAGAUGUCAGGCUAUGGGGGGCAAUAGAAGGGACAUAGCUACUUACAUUUGUUUCCUUUGUAACCAGGAGUGAAACUGUGUGGAGCUGUGGCUGCCCAGCAGGGUUCAUGGGCAUGAUGCCCAAGUAUACCAGUGACUUUGGUCUUCCUGCUCUCUGUGUUCCCUGCAGUGGACCUGCAGAGGGCCAGAGCCAGGCUCUGGGUGGAAGGACCCCAAAGGUGUCCUACCUGCAUGUUUCUUCCAUCUGCACUAUCACUGGAGAAAUCUGCUCAUAUCACUGUUAUUUUGAAAUUCACAAGCAGGGUUUAAUUUUGUGUGUGUCAUUUCCUAAUGAUACAUUCUGUUGUGCUACAUGCCAUCAGUUGUAUCUCACCUAGCUGCCCUUCUCUAACUCACCAAGUGACCUUGAACAAUUCUUUCUCAGGCACUGAGCAUGUGUCAGGUAUGUGUGAAGACACAUUUUAAUCAUGUUAGCUGUGAAAUCUUCAUGACAGACCUCAUCCAUUGUCUGCAUGUUACAAGUUGGGGAAAAACUCAGACAGGAAGAAGUGGCCACACAGCUAUGAAAAAAGUGGCAGAGCUGGGAUCAACCCCAGCAAAGAGAUGAUAUUAAAGGAUGGCAAAGAGAGGAUAUUACAAAUACUUGAU